rnacentral:rRNA from 1 species
UACGUAGGCGGCAAGCGUUGUCCGGAUUUACUGGGUGUAAAGGGCGUGUAGCCGGGCUGACAAGUCAGAUGUGAAAUUCCGGGGCUCAACCCCGGACCUGCAUUUGAAACUGUUGGUCUUGAGUAUCGGAGAGGCAGGCGGAAUUCCUAGUGUAGCGGUGAAAUGCGUAGAUAUUAGGAGGAACGCCAGUGGCGAAGGCGGCCUGCUGGACGACAACUGACGGUGAGGCGCGAAAGCGUGGGGAGCAAACAGG